rnacentral:rRNA from 1 species
AGUUUGAUCAUGGCUCAGAUUGAACGCUGGCGGCAGGCCUAACACAUGCAAGUCGAACGGUAGCACAGAGAGCUUGCUCUCGGGUGACGAGUGGCGGACGGGUGAGUAAUGUCUGGGAAACUGCCUGAUGGAGGGGGAUAACUACUGGAAACGGUAGCUAAUACCGCAUAACGUCGCAAGACCAAAGAGGGGGACCUUCGGGCCUCUUGCCAUCAGAUGUGCCCAGAUGGGAUUAGCUAGUAGGUGGGGUAACGGCUCACCUAGGCGACGAUCCCUAGCUGGUCUGAGAGGAUGACCAGCCACACUGGAACUGAGACACGGUCCAGACUCCUACGGGAGGCAGCAGUGGGGAAUAUUGCACAAUGGGCGCAAGCCUGAUGCAGCCAUGCCGCGUGUAUGAAGAAGGCCUUCGGGUUGUAAAGUACUUUCAGCGGGGAGGAAGGUGAUAAGGUUAAUAACCCUUGGCAAUUGACGUUACCCGCAGAAGAAGCACC